CCUACGGGAGGCAGCAGUGGGGAAUUUUGCGCAAUGGGGGAAACCCUGACGCAGCAACGCCGCGUGGAGGAUGAAGCCCCUUGGGGCGUAAACUCCUUUCGAUCGGGACGAUUAUGACGGUACCUAUAGAAGAAGCCCCGGCUAACUUCGUGCCAGCAGCCGCGGUAAUAA
rnacentral:rRNA from 1 species